UACAGAGGGUGCGAGCGUUGUCCGGAAUCACUGGGCGUAAAGGGCGCGUAGGUGGCGCGACAAGUCAGUGGUGAAAGUUCGACGCUUAACGUCGAAUCGGCCACCGAUACUGGGUUGCUCGAGCACUGUAGAGGCUAAUGGAAUUCCGGGUGUAGCGGUGGAAUGCGUAGAGAUCCGGAAGAACACCGGUGGCGAAGGCGGUUAGCUGGGCAGUUGCUGACACUGAGGCGCGACAGCGUGGGGAGCAAACAGG
rnacentral:rRNA from 1 species